rnacentral:rRNA from 1 species
GUACACGCUGUGACUAGCAUAUCAAUAAGCGGAGGAAAAGAAACUAACAAGGAUUCCCCUAGUAACGGCGAGUGAAGCGGGAAGAGCUCAAAUUUGAAAUCUUAAAGGGUUUCCCUUUACGAAUUGUAGUUUAAAGAAGUGUUUUCUGUUGAGGUUUUGGUAAAAGUUCUUUGGAAUAGGACAUCAUAGAGGGUGAGAAUCCCGUAUUUGACCUUUACUUUCAACUUUGUGAUACACUUUCAAAGAGUCGGAUUGUUUGGGAAUGCAGUCCAAAAUGGGUGGUAAAUUUCAUCUAAAGCUAAAUAUUGGCGAGAGACCGAUAGCGAACAAGUACCGUGAGGGAAAGAUGAAAAGAACUUUGAAAAGAGAGUUAAACAGUACGUGAAAUUGUCAAAAGGGAAGCGUUUGACACCAGUGUUGUUUUUCUGAAAAUCAAUUAAAGAACUGUUUAUGCUAAGCUGUUUAGACUUUAUCAGCUAUCUGUUUAGUUUUGAGCUUUUCUUUAAUGCACUUUUCAGUUAACAAGUCAACAUCAAUUCCUUUUGCUGUAAAAAAGCUUGAGGAAGGUGGCUUGAGAUUCGUCUUAAGUGUUUAUAGCCUCUUGCCUAUGCAGUCGGAGAGACUGAGGUCUGCAGCGUAGAUCCUUCGGGGCUAAAUGCAUUUGUGCUAAGUUAUAGCAUUUUAUAGACAACUUGUUGACUACGAUUUGUCUUGUAGCUUACUCGCUUAUGUUAUUUUACCUACGCUUAGGAUGUUGAAGUCAUCGUAUCGCGC